UUUAGAAAUUACAUGAAAGCUCGAUGAUAUGAAAAACUGUCGGUUGAACCAUGUUUGGCUCAAGUGAAGUUACAUGAAAAUGGGGUCAAUGGAUUCCAGUGAUGAACUCCCCUUCAUGAUGCUGGACUGAGCACUGAGACUCAACUUUCAUAUAAAAGAAAAUGCAGAUGAACUGUAGAUGCAUGAGGGAAUAUUAAUACUUAGAAACUGGAUUCCAGCUCUUCUGAAUGAGGCAACUCUGCGUCGAAGGGGGAAAAAAAAAAAAAAAAGAAAGAGAGCAGGGAACACAUCAGUCUGUACAGUAUCUGCUCUGUGCUGCUGAACACAAGCGUUAAUUGGCCCAAUGAUAAUCUUGACUUCAGGCCACUUUGUAGGGUUUGCUGUCAACUCUUCUGUGUCCCAGGCCUGUCCAUCCUCCAAUCACAACCGCGAUAACUGAGACCCUUAAACGUUCCACAGUGAGGGUAAUGUGCAGCUGACGUGUGGAUCUAUUGCCACACUCAUUACUGUCCACGCUUCAUCGCCGUCGUCUCUGGCCUAGAUAAUUCCACUCUACAGCCGUCUGUUUCCCUGUCUUCCAGG